AGUGAACGCUGGCGGCGUGCCUAAUACAUGCAAGUCGAACGAAGUGGCGCACGGGUGAGUAAUAUAUAUCUAUUCACCCCUCCACAGAGGAACAACAGUUGGAAACGACUGCUAAUACCCCAUAGUGUAGGUUGAGACUAUAUCGUAUCAGCUAGUUGUUAAGGUGUUGGCUUACCAAGGCUAUGACGCGUAACUGGUCAGAGAGGAUGAUCAGUCACAUUCGAACGGAGACACGGGCCAAACUCCUACGGGAGGCAGCAGUAAGGAAUAUUGCGCAAUGGGGGAAACCCUGACGCAGCAUCGCCGCGUGGAGGAUGACACUUUUCGGAGCGUAAGCUCCUUUUAUCAGGAAAGCGGUACCUGAUGAAUAAGCACCGGCUAACUCCGUGCCAGCAGCCGCGGUAAUUC
rnacentral:rRNA from 1 species